rnacentral:rRNA from 1 species
CUCUUUUUCGGUUUUUUCUCUUUUUUUUUGUUAAAAAUGUAUGACUCUAUAAAUUCUAGACCCGUGAGGCCAAACUUAGCAUGUGAUACCUUUCCGGAAAGCUCAAAGAUAGCUCUCCGAUGAAAGAAGAAGGAAAAUGGAAUUCUUCUAUUGUUUUUUUUUCUUCUCCAAAUUUUGAACUUAAUGUACUUUUUCCGAGCCUUUUCGUGAUCUUUGCUAUAGUACGGGGUGAAAAUUAUAUGUUCGAACAGUGUUUUCGAAUAUUUUCGAUGUAUCAAAGCUCUAAUAACAAGAUAGGGUAUUCCUACAUAGCUAGUGGGACCCACGACAAAUGGAUCAUAAAGUCUUAAAAAAAGAAUAUAUACAAUUGCAUUGCAUGUAGUAACAGAUGCGAUCAUACCAGCACUAAUGCACCAGAUCCCAUCAGAACUCCGUAGUUAAGCGUGCUUGGGCGAGAGUNUACUAGGAAUCC